AUUUUGGGAAUUUUGGGGCUUACAACCUUUAAAUUGUUCAAAUCUUCGUUAUUGUGUUCUAGGGCUUACAAGCAUGUAACUCUGGAUUUUAUGUUUGAAUUGUUGAUAACUGUUUCAACUCCGUCUUGAUCUAUCCCCAGGCUAUAAGUGACAACGUAGCAGUCAAAUGGUGAUCAAUUGACCAGAGGAGUCGAGCGGUCAAGAGGCGGGCAGCCGACAGUGCGUUGGGUUGUUGGGUGGCCUUCUCAGCUGUGUUUUCUGUUAUCUUGCUCUUCUCUCAUUCGAUUUUGAUGCGCGGUUUCUACCGAUUGGGAUGCAAGGUUUGAAGAGGUCAGUUCAGGUUGCAAGGCGUAUGAAGUCGUCGGUUUGAUAUAAGUUAGAACUUUUUAUUUGUUAUUUUUUUUGGGAUGCUAAGUUUUGAAGAGGUCAGUUCGGAUUCAGGUCACAGUUUACGUUUUGUGUUUCGUUCAGUAAACAUGUACCUUUUAGAAACAUGUUUAAUAUAAGUUUGAAUUUUUUUGUUUGUUA
rnacentral:lncRNA from 1 species